rnacentral:rRNA from 1 species
UACGUAGGGGGCGAGCGUUGUCCGGAUUUAUUGGGCGUAAAGAGCGUGUAGGCGGCCUGGUAGGUCAGCUGUGAAAACUCGAGGCUCAACCUCGAGACGCCGGUUGAAACCAUCAGGCUAGAGUCCGGAAGAGGAGAGUGGAAUUCCCGGUGUAGCGGUGAAAUGCGCAGAUAUCGGGAAGAACACCGGUGGCGAAGGCGGAUCUCUGGGCCGAUACUGACGCUGAGGAGCGAAAGCGUGGGGAGCGAACAGG